rnacentral:sRNA from 1 species
GACCGAACCCAGGGCCUUGCGCUCGCUAGGCAAGCACUCUACCCUGAGCUAAAUCCCCAACCCCGCCAGAAUUAUUUUAGUCAACAGGUUGAAGGCAUCUUUAAAAUCAAAGCUUUUAUCGUUACUGUGGAGAGAAAAGAGUUGACUGGCUGAUGGCCAGACCUGUGCCUCAGGAAUAUAUGGCAUCUAGGCCUUCUGGCCAGAGCAGAACUCCUGAGACGUCUCUACCUGCUGCAGAGUAGACGGGACCUGGGCGCGUUCCCAAAGUGCCACUUCCAGGGCAGAGAUUCUAAUCUGAGGAAAUAAAUGCUGCUGGGCUCAACAAUAUGAAUGGCAAGUCUACUUGGGAAGACCAACAUACAGCCUGCUUGAGUUUCAGCCCUCCCCAUCCCUGAAGUACUCUCUUCCUAACCCUUCUGCAUGACUCUCAGCUGGGUCUGAAACAUGGAAGGAGAUGAUGUAGCUGUUCUCAUUUUACCCCUUCUGGAAUCUGAUGACAACCAGUGGCUGAAGUUACUGACCCCUGGCCCAGACUUGGCUGCUGUCCUUAGACACUGACGUCAGACAGCUGGCAGCUGAACCCUGGAGGACUCACGGCUGAACCCUGGAGGACUCUCAGCUGAACCCUGGAGGACUCACAGCUGAACCCUGGAGGACUCUCAGCUGAAUCAUGGAGGACUCACGGCUGAACCCUGGAGGACUCACAGCUGAACCCUGGAGGACUCUCAGCUGAACCCUGGAGGACUCUCAGCUGAACCCUGGAGGACUCUCAGCUGAACCCUGGAGGACUCUCAGCUGAACCCUGGAGGACUCUCAGCUGAACCCUGGAGGACUCUCAGCUGAACCCUGGAAGACUCACAGCUGAACCCUGGAGGACUCACAGCUGAACCCUGGAGGACUCUCAGCUGAAUCAUGGAGGACUCACGGCUGAACCAUGAGGGGCUUAUGCUUUCUUUGCUAACACUGAAGGAGGAAGGAAGGCAAUCCUUGAGCUACAGAGGAGGCCAGGUAGACACACAGAAGAUGCAGAAAAGGCCUAGCCAGACCCCUGUCCUUGGGAGCCAGAAGUGUGCCAUUGUGAUCAGCAUACAACCCCAACUCCAGAAAACAGUGCAAGAACAGAGAAAGGAGCCAAGAAAAGUUACUUGAGGCAGACAAGAAGGUGAAGGAAGAUACGGUGCAUCAAGUCUACUGAUGAAGAGAGACUCUAACUGGACCAGACCAUGCUGUGGUAGCGGACAUCGGGAGGUGAAGGGUCUGAGCUCUUUCCUCACACGGAGGGGAGAUGUGAGAUGUAACACGUGGGAGAGCGUCAGAAAGCACAUCGGAGGCUGAGGAGGGGCAAGUGAAGCAGACACGGAGACCAGGAGCCAUGAUGGGGAGAGGAGCCAAGAGAGACUAUGACAGCUAAGUAAUGGAGCAGGGAAUCAGGAGGGCUUGGUGCUUUAUGGAAUGCUCUAGAAUAGACCACAAGGCUGAUGACACUUUCUAAAAUAGGACAACUCUUACUACAGAGAGUAAGUUAAUUCUAGCUCUGAAAAUCCACACUGUAGAAAAGGGUCUAUUUCGCUUCAUUUUAAACUGUCUUCAAAUCUGGGCAUGGUGGUAAAUAUACCUGUAACCCUUGCACUUGGGGAACCGAGGCAGGAGGAUCAUGAGUUGGAGGUCAUUCACAGCUGCUUCACGAGACCUUGUCAGAGGAAUAAAAAGUGGCUUUAGAAGUAUUUUCGCUUGAUGCUGUAUUGGGAUAACCU